GACGAACGCUGGCGGCGUGCUUAACACAUGCAAGUCGAACGGAAAGGCCCUGCUUUUGUGGGGUGCUCGAGUGGCGAACGGGUGAGUAACACGUGAGUAGCCUGCCCUUGACUUUGGGAUAACUUCAGGAAACUGGGGCUAAUACCGGAUAGGAGCUCCUGCUGCAUGGUGGGGGUUGGAAAGUUUCGGCGGUUGGGGGUGGACUCGCGGCUUAUCAGCUUGUUGGUGGGGUAGUGGCUUACCAAGGCUUUGACGGGUAGCCGGCCUGAGAGGGUGACCGGCCACAUUGGGACUGAGAUACGGCCCAGACUCCUACGGGAGGCAGCAGUGGGGAAUAUUGCACAAUGGGCGGAAGCCUGAUGCAGCAACGCCGCGUGCGGGAUGACGGCCUUCGGGUUGUAAACCGCUUUCGCCUGUGACGAAGCGUGAGUGACGGUAAUGGGUAAAGAAGCACCGGCUAACUACGUG
rnacentral:rRNA from 1 species